rnacentral:rRNA from 1 species
GAUGAACGCUAGCUACAGGCUUAACACAUGCAAGUCGAGGGGCAGCAUGGUCUUAGCUUGCUAAGGCCGAUGGCGACCGGCGCACGGGUGAGUAACACGUAUCCAACCUGCCGUCUACUCUUGGACAGCCUUCUGAAAGGAAGAUUAAUACAAGAUGGCAUCAUGAGUCCACAUGUUCACAUGAUUAAAGGUAUUCCGGUAGACGAUGGGGAUGCGUUCCAUUAGAUAGUAGGCGGGGUAACGGCCCACCUAGUCUUCGAUGGAUAGGGGUUCUGAGAGGAAGGUCCCCCACAUUGGAACUGAGACACGGUCCAAACUCCUACGGGAGGCAGCAGUGAGGAAUAUUGGUCAAUGGGCGAGAGCCUGAACCAGCCAAGUAGCGUGAAGGAUGACUGCCCUAUGGGUUGUAAACUUCUUUUAUAAAGGAAUAAAGUCGGGUAUGUAUACCCGUUUGCAUGUACUUUAUGAAUAAGGAUCGGCUAACUCCGUGCCAGCAGCCGCGGUAAUACGGAGGAUCCGAGCGUUAUCCGGAUUUAUUGGGUUUAAAGGGAGCGUAGAUGGAUGUUUAAGUCAGUUGUGAAAGUUUGCGGCUCAACCGUAAAAUUGCAGUUGAUACUGGAUAUCUUGAGUGCAGUUGAGGCAGGCGGAAUUCGUGGUGUAGCGGUGAAAUGCUUAGAUAUCACGAAGAACUCCGAUUGCGAAGGCAGCCUGCUAAGCUGCAACUGACAUUGAGGCUCGA